GUCAAGAUGGCCGAGUUGGUCUAAGGCGCCAGUUUUAGGUACUGGUCCGAAAGGGCAUGGGUUCGAAUCCAUUCUUGACA
rnacentral:tRNA from 2 species